GCUUGUCUCAAAGAUUAAGCCAUGCAUGUCUAAGUACAAGCCUCAGUAAGGUGAAACCGCGAAUGGCUCAUUAAAUCACACCUAAUCUACUGGAAAGUUACUAGUUACUUGGAUAACUGAGGUAAUUCUUGAGCUAAUACAUGCGAAAAAUCUCGACUCACGGAGAGAUGCUUUUAUUAGAUCAAAACCAAACGGCUUCGGCCGUCUCAUUGGUGAUUCAUAAUAACUUUCGGAUCGAUUUAUCGAUGCAUCAUUCAAGUUUCUGCCCUAUCAGCUUUGGAUGGUAGGGUAUUGGCCUACCAUGGCUUUAACGGGUAACGGAGAAUUAGGGUUCGAUUCCGGAGAGGGAGCCUGAGAAAUGGCUACCACAUCCAAGGAAGGCAGCAGG
rnacentral:rRNA from 1 species